rnacentral:tRNA from 1 species
GCCUGGGUGGCUCAGUCGGUUAAGCGUCCGACUUUGGCUCAGGUCAUGAUCUCAUGGUUCGUGGGUUCGAGCCCCACACUGGGCU